rnacentral:rRNA from 1 species
UCUACGGGAGGCAGCAGUGGGGAAUCUUGCGCAAUGGGCGAAAGCCUGACGGAGCAAUACCGCGUGAGGGAAGACGGCCCAUGGGUUGUAAACCUCUUUUUUCAGGGAGGAACAAAUGACGUGUACCUGAAGAAUAAGCAUCGGCUAACUCCGUGCCAGCAGCCGCGGUAAU